GCUUCGCGGUCGAGUGGUGAGGACAUUUGCCCCUCACCCUGGAGUUCCGGGUUCAAUCCCCGGUCGAGGAGCU